UGGCUCAGAACGAACGCUGGCGGCAGGCAUAACACAUGCAAGUCGAGCGCCGUAGCAAUAUGGAGCGGCAGACGGGCGAGUAACGCGUGGGAACGUGCCCUUCGGUUCGGAAUAACCCAGGGAAACUUGGGCUAAUACCCGAUACGUCCGAAAGGAGAAAGAUUUAUCGCCGAAGGAUCGGCCCGCGUAAGAUCAGCUAGUUGGUGAGGUAACGUCUCCCCAAGGCCAGGAAAAAUAGCUGGUCUGAGAGGACGAUCAGCCACACUGGGA
rnacentral:rRNA from 1 species